AACAAGAAAUGCAAGCACAAUCUCUUAGUUACUGAUGAAUCCGUCUGAUUAAGAUAAACAAAAUUUGCUCUUACUGAGUUGUUCAUUACAUUUCCAUAAAUCAUUCCACUAAAUAAAGGGCACUAGGAUGAGCGAUUAAUUCUGUUGCCCUCCAAUCCUAUUCGAGUACAUCAACACAUAGUAGAUGUGAAUUAUCAUGCCCAAUUAUUACAAGACUAUACUAUACCAAUGUUAGCCAAAUGUAACUGAGGCAAAUAAUGGUACCAAAAAUUACUACAGCCAAACCCAUUUAAUCGCCUAGCUCCGGCUGUUCUUGAUCGACUAACAGCAUUUGCAUCCAUGCAGCACCUUGUUCCAAACAAAGACUGACAGAAUUGUUUCACAAAGCCCUGC
rnacentral:lncRNA from 1 species